UUAACCGAAAUUCAAAUAACUCAUAAGUCAAACCAUUGGUCUUAACAUUUUUUAUAUAAGACAAAAAAUACCCUGCUUAAAACGACCCCAGGAACACGAAUAUGAAGAGAUAUUAAUUAAAGAACAUUUUGCGUAAAAAACAAAUACGGGGCUGCAGCAUAUCAAUCGAUAUGUUGGCAAUGGCGUCGCAAAUGUUGUUCUUGAGGUGUCCAUGUUCGAUGGACAUAAACCAGGGAUUUCAAAUAACCCCAUAAAAAAAAAAUCUGGUGCGCGUGCCGGCCAUUGGAGAUCACUUCUGAGAGAGAUGAGGAGGUCGGGGAACUUCUGUUGCAAAAAAUUCAUUGAGUCUCGUGCUAUGGCUCCAUCUUGCUAAAACGACACGUUUCCAUCAUCUAUUUCUUCGAGGCUUGGAAAAAAAAUUUAGGGUGCGAGCCGAAUGCUGGGGAGAACGCACAACCCACUGCUCCACUCUUUCGUUAUUUUCUGAUGGUCCGUUGAAGUCCAUUUCUGGGUUUAGCUUCAAGUCCAUACUCCCGAAAUGAGCAAAUCCACGACAGAAUCGAAUUACGACCAGGAGGAGGAGAAUUUCAAGGCGUGCGUGGCUGGCACGUUGCGUAGUAAUAAGUGAGCAACCGCUAGAACAGAAGCUCUCGACGGAAAAGGCCCGCUGCCCCCUAGACCAGAGCAUAAUGGUAACUAACUGGAGAGAGGAACAAAAAUGACGACCUCCCUCUAGAUGCACCCCCGUCCAACUCACCGCUCGCGAAUUUUUUUAAAUAUGUAUUAUAUGUAUUUUUUUAUAUGUAUUUUUUGGAUGCGGACGGCAAAAUUUGAUUUUUUAUACCCUCCACCAUA